ensembl:lncRNA
CGCCCCUCGGCGACGUGAGCCCGCUUCCCUCCGAGUCUAGGCGCCGAGGGGGCGGGGCGGGGCGGGGCGUCUGCGCCCUAUUGUCAUGGAGACGGGAAGCCGGCGGCGGCGGUGGCGGGCAUAGCCCAGCAGAGGUGGCAGCGAACCGGCCGCGACUGAGGCGAGGCCGAGCAGCCCCGAGCGCGCGGAGCCGACCGCUGGCGGCCUCUCAGGCAGCCAAGGGAGCAGUGUUCUCCGGGGCUCGGGCUGGGCCGGGGUGAUCGCGGGGAGUGCCCAGGAGCGUCCCCGCCCUGCUCGCGUCGCUCGCGCUCUUGCGGCCCUUCAGCUCCCCAGCGCCCGCCCCCGGCUCCGCCCGCCGCCGCCGCCGCCGCCGCCGCCGCAGCCCCUCGCGCUAACGGUCGGUAGCGGCCCGCGCGCGCCGCCAGCCGGGGGCUCGCGCCAGCCACGAGGGAGCGUCCGCGGCUCACGCUCCCGCGCUGCGGAGGAGAGGUGAGCCCCGCGUCCACUCUGCCACCGCGUACCCUCCGCGUCUCGGCCGGGCUUCCUGCCUCUCGAGCCGCGUCCACGUCCUCCCGUGGACGGGAUGGACGCGGUGGUGCCCUGCGCCCCUCUGGGCUCUCGGUAGGCAUGGGCUGCGUGAACGUUGGGCGGGAUUCUCGUGGUGUGACGGUCCCCCCAGCGGGCGGGCGUGGGCGUGGUCCCCUCCAUCCACGCGCGGCGACUUCACCCUCUCGGCUCUGGUCCAGGAUGCUGAUCUCGGAAAUGGAGCCCUGGAGGUUAUGAGUAUGAUGCUUCCAUAUACGUUUGGAUGUUUUCAGCUAAGUUCACUUCUGAACUGUGGGGCUCCUCCAAGUGUUGACUGAAAUCUGUCCUUGAGCAUCCCCACGCUCAUCUAAUCUACAGUCCAUAAUGGAGCCACUGUACUGGCUUUUGGAAGGAGGAGAUUCUGAAGAUAGGGAGAUUCAGCAAUCAGUCUUUGAAAUUUCCUGUGGUCUGUUCAAUCUAGAUGCAAAGGACAUGGAAAAAUCAAGUGCUCAAGUGGUUUAAAUAUGUUUUGGAUAUUCUUAUUUAUAGAUUACAGGAUUUUUCCAAUUAAAAUCCGCAGUUGUCAUGCAGAAGGAGGUUAUGCCCUUCUUGAUCACCAGUUUAUUUGAAAUGCUUAGCAUUAUAGUGUGUUACUGAAUGCUGUUUUAAUCAAAGUAUAGAAAAAUAAAAACAAUUCUGUAUGUUGACUUUUUUUCUAAAAUGACUUUGUUGGACUGAAUGAAUGUUUAUACCUGAAAAAGAGGGUUCCUCCCUGAGAAAAAAAUCACUUUCUCCAUUAUAGCAAUUCUUCUGGCAAUCUGAUAUCAUUAGAAUAGGUUUAAAAUCACUUUCUAAUGUGACCCUAUUAUAUUUAUGGAAGAAGAAAGACUUAGAAGUUAUCCAUAUAUAUAAUUUUAAUUCUCUAUAGUAGUCCCUCUGGAAUGGAACAUUUUCUUUUUAAAAAAUCUAUUAGCUCAACUCAGGUAUGAGGGAAAAAUCAUCUCAACUGGCAGAGCAUUCGUUACGUCUUUGAGUAUUUGGUUUAUAUAAAGGUUGACAUCCAGUCUUCCACAGAGUUCUUACAUUUGGGCAGACUGAAUAAUGAGGGGUUGCCUUGGCAUUGGGAAAUUCCUUGUUGUGGCCUUUGUGGUGGCUGAAGGGAAACGGAAGGAUUCCUCCGUGGCAGGCAGGCGUCUGGCUUCUGUGGUAUGAACUCUGUCAAGGGGUAUGUGUGACCAGAGGUAGCCCUUAGUGAGGGGACUGGAGAGAUGCACAGAUGCUGCUGACACCCGAAGAAGUAGUGGCGAGUUACUGUUUUGGGCAUGACCCAGUUUGUACUUCAUCCACUUCUAUAGUUCUCACAAAAUGCUAUGAUAAAUUCUUAAGCUCAGAUCUCCGUACAGCAAAGUAAAAUUUUUAGGCUAGAAUAUUUUUUAUUUUUAAUUAAACUUUAUAUUUUGAGAUAAUUACAGAUUUCAUGUGCAGUUUUACUAAAUAAUGGAGAGGUCCUCUGUACCUUUAGUAAGUUUCCCCUCAGUAGGGAAAGUAUCACAACCUGGACAUUGGCCUCAUUACAGCCCAGAUACAGAACUUCCAUCCCCGGAAGGAUUCCUCACUCUGUCCUUUUACAGUCGUACAUGCUUCUCUCCUGCUCCUCUUCCUGUAGCAUCACUAGGCUGUUCUCCUUUCCUGUAAUGUUUUUUCUUUUCAAGGAUGUUCUAUAAAUGGAAUCAUAUAGUAUAUAACCUCUUGGGAUUGACUUUUCUCACUCAGCACAAUUUUCUGGAGCUUCAACUCACACGUAUCAGUAUUCUGUUCUUUUUAUGGUUGGGUAAUAUCCCGUGGUGUGGUUGCCCCACAGUUUGUUUAACUGUUGUACCAGUUGAGACUUCAGUGUUGUUUCUGGUUUUUCACUAUUAUGAAUAAAACUGCUGUAAACAUGCAUGUACAGAUUUUUAUGUGAACAUAAGUUUUCAUUUUCCUGGGAUAAAUGCCCAGGAGUGUGAUUGUGGGUCAUAUGAUAAUUACAUAGAGUCUUUUUAAGACUAGAAUUGAUUUUGUGUGUAUGGAAGGGGAGACAAAGAGAACAUCUACAUUUUUGUGGUAUUUUUGCUUUAACUGGAUUUGUCUACGAUUUCAAAACAUACAGACUAUUUUAAAUAACUUGUAGCUAGAUAUAAAAAAAACAUUUUUCCACAAACUAGAUUUUGUUCUUAUUUCUAGAGAAAUACUUUUGAGAAAAAACUGACCUUUUUUGGGGGGGGUAAGCAAUUUCUGUGUAAAGGAAUAAAGGUAGACAUACACUAUAGAAAGUGCUGCAAAGCUGGCAGGGUACUUGGGGAAAAUUUGCAAGUGUUAAUAGAGACUUGACAUUCAAGGCUAUAUUGUAAUAGUUUUUCAAUUUGUAGACUUUAACUUUUGUCACUACCAUGUAGCCUGCAGAUUUUAUUUGUAGAAUAAAUUCAUUAUCUUUAUCAUUUGUGUUCAGCUGUGUUGCAUUUCAUGUCCAUCUAAUUCAACUAUAUGCAUGUAGGAAGAAAAAGAAGGAAAUGAAAAACAAACAAUAUCUUUUCUAGUGCAGGCAUGCUUAGUUGUGUCCGACUCUUUUGCAACCCCAUGGACUAUAGCCUGCCAGGCUCCUGGGUCUAUGGGAUUUUCCAGGCAAGAAUACUGGAGUGAGCUGCCAUUUCCUUUUCCAGGGGAUCUUCCUGACCCAGGAAUCAAACCUGUGUCUUCUGAGUCUCCUGCAUUGGCAGGUGGAUAUUUUACCACUAAGCCACCUGGGAAAGCCAUCUUUUCUAGUACCUAGCCCCUAAAAUGCAGCUACUGUAUGCGAUGCUUAGUGGAAGAAUGGCUUUGUUUCCAACUCCGGUAGAAAUUAUCCUGGUAUACUUACUGAGACAUAAUAAGGCAUAUACAAAACCAUCUAUGCUAUAUUUUGGGAGAAACCCACUGAAAGA